rnacentral:tmRNA from 1 species
GGGGGUGAAAAGGUUUCGACGGAAGUAGAUGAGAUGAAGGUUGCAUGCCGAGGUCUCCGCAGGCCUCGUUAAACAGGCGGAACAAACACAACUGCCGAUUACGAAGAAUUGGCUCUAGCCGCUUAAAGCGGCUACGUUCGGUUUGCUUGCGGCCCGUCGGGUUAACCGGGCGUCGAGAUACGGGCUGUGCGAUUUGCUUGUUCUUCAGGGGCAACCCGCGAGAUUUACUGGGGAUAGCUAAUGUGAAUCCGGCAUAAGGGAGCCGCUGCGGUGAAGAAUUAAAACUUAUGCUAAGCAUGUAGUAGCCUUUGUUGAAAUGCCUCCGGACGCGGGUUCGAUUCCCGCCACCUCCAUCA